UGGAAGAGUUAAUUACUUGAAAGGUAGAAGAACUUGGGGUAGGGGGACUGCUCCCUUCCCCUCUCUCCACUGUGCAUCCUUACCCCUCAGUACUCACUCCCAUUCCUGAGUGGAGUGCUCAGGCUACUCUCCUCUCUUUCUCCCUCCCCUGUCUGAGUAAGGGCAGAGGACACUUGGUUGCUGGGUGGCAUGGUCUCUAAAAGGUUCUAAAAGGUUUGCCAUCACUAUCCUAGAGCCUUUUUGGUGAACCUAUAGCAGGUGUGCUGGAGGGGCUGCUCCCUUCCCCUCUCCAUGUGCGCAAGGACAAUUCUUAUAUCACCUGCCCCUCAGCCUAGCAGUCAAAUGGGAACAUUUCCUCCUUCCCCUGUCUGGAGUAAAGUCAGUUGUUCUUACAUGCAUCAUGAGGGUUUCAGUUUGGUCACUUGCUCUCUAAAAGUUUUGCCAUCACUGCCCUGGAGAAUCAAAGGAGGAGAUGCGAUAACACCCCACACACACAUACCUCCUCCUGUCACAGGGCUGGGACAGCUCUGAGCAUGUUCCAUCUCCAUUAUCAUGACAUGACAUUAUCAUGACAGGCAGAUAGACAGGCAGACAUAGUGCAAAAUUCAUUAUUCACAUUUCUUCUAAAUGCAAGUUUAGGCCUUUCUUGCACCUCUAAUAUGAGAAAAAUCACAAUUCAAGUGAGCUGUGAUUACUUUUGAUACAGUGAUUGGGAGAAUCAUGUGGCAUAAUUUUGGAGUUGUGUGUUUUUAUUUUAUCUUUAGAGCUCAUUAAAUAAUAUUUGAGUAAGUAGAGAUAUAGGCUAGAUGUAUAAUUUCAUUGAAAUAGGGAAUACUCAUGUGUAUAGUUAGAAAAUCUUGAAACCCUACUACAUUACCCAGAAUACUUUUCCCUUUGUGCACAUUUGAGUCAAUUCACAUAACUGUUUAUAAGUUCUGUAGCUCCUCUCAAUUGCUCUCUUCUUUCAUGACUGGUCCUGGGUAUCGGUAGUUCUUUUAUUUUAGUUAUUAAUUAAUAAAAGUUUAAAAAUAAAAUUUAUAGAAUAUUAAUUUUAAUCUUUACAUUUUGGUUUACCACAAAGAGAAUUUUCAAAUAUUUUUUUAAGAUAGAAUAGAUAAAUUUUUUCAAGCAUGCUUUUCUGCCCGCCCACCUGCUUUCCCCACCAUCUGCUUGAACCAGCUCUCCUCCCACUACUGCUGCUGCCACCCACCACCAGAUCUUGGGAGUGGUUUCUCCUCCCCCUGCAUGCUCUUGGGAAGAGUGCUCAGCUGCAGUCUCCCACUGCUAUUUCUGAUUCAAGUUUCUGCACAGAGGGUGAGAUUCCCCAAUUUUUGGCCAGUCUUUUCCCCACUCCAGGUGGGUUUUUGAGCCUGUGCUAGCCAUUUUUCAGUGAGGAAAAGUGACACCAUGCUAUUCAGCACCACCCCCUUCUAGUUUAUAAGCUGAAUUUCUUAAACUGACCCUUGGCACCCGGCUUGCAACUCAGGAUUUUUUUCACAGGAAAGGGGACCCCUCUGCUGUUUUUAUUUUUUGAGGGCACAACACAAAUCAAUGGAUUUUAGAUUUUAUUUUUCUCCUUCCUACCCCAAACAUCGAGGACUAAUCUUUCUUUCAUAUGAAAAUAUGCUAUUGUUCUCCCUUGAAGUUUUGCCCUUCUUUGAGUUUACUCUUUAAAUAAAAUCCAUUCAUUCUUCCCUUUUUUUUUGGAGGAAAAAUGCUUUUACAAAGCAUGCUAGGAACUCUCACAGAACAGUUUGAAUUGCUUGAUCUCUAACUAGUGCAUAUUAGUUCUUGUUUUUUUUUUUUACCAGCAGUUUGUAUUUGCACUGCAUAUUUUCCAUUUUGUUUGCUUCUGAAGAAUAUGCAACAGGCUAGGGGGCAGCUGGGUAGCUCAGUGGAUUGCAAGCCAGCCCUAGAGACGGGAGGUCCUAGGUUCAAAUCUGGCCUCAGACACUUCCCAGCUGUGUGACCAUGGGCAAGUCACUUGACCCCCAUUGCCUAGCCCUUACCACUCUUCUGCCUUGGAGCCAAUACUCAGUAUUGACUACAAGAAGGAAGGUAAGGGUUUAAAAAAAAAAAGAAUAUGCAACAGGCUAGACUGCUUAAAUUAGAGACCAAACUGAAAUAUUCUGACAAAGUGUUAUGGGGUUCAGAUGUGUACCCCUGGGGUUCAGGAAGGAUACCUUUGGCAAGAAUGCAAGACUCCAAAACUUAGCUUAAAAACAAAAAGAGAAAUUUAUUAGUUUGGGAGGCAAUGUUGAGAAUGGCCAGGAGGAUAGCAAGGUGGAGCAGCAAGAUGGGGAGCAGUUCCUUGGGAGGACAGCAUGAAUGGAAAGGCUGCUCCCCUGAGGACAGUAUAGAUGUAAAAGCUGUCCCCCCAGACGACAUCAGUUCUGGGGAUUUUAUACUCUUUACAACAGAUGCUAUGUCAUGGUGUGGACAUGACCUAGAGUGUUAAUAAUCACUCAGGCAUUUGGUGGGGUUGAGGUGGUCAUCUGAAUUGGGUCUGCUUGGAGGCAUAAAGAUUCCUUAACAAAAAAAUAUCUUGAGAUAUAGCCUGAUAGGAUCUAGGUGUAGCCUGGAGAUGUGUCUCUGUCCAAAAUAGUUUGCCUGAGUUUCUGGGGGUACAGUGCCCAUGUCAAAAAUUUUGAUAUUCUUAAAUAUUCUCAACACACAGAGUAGAGAAUUCUGCCCAUUGCUUCUAUCAGAAAUUUCCGAGUUCUGACAAAUGAAGUGCAAAUAGUUAAUAAAUAGUGCGGAGGGGAAUGAACUUUAAAAGAGAUCUGGAAGUUUAUUGUUUCCUAACUACUUUAAUUUAUUAAACUCCAUGAGAGUAAAAGAAGUCUAUUGGAAUUGGAGAAAAGGAUUUUUGACGUCCCUGACUAUGUCUUUGUUACGCUUAUUUUAUUUGCUGAUUGCUUGUGUUAAGAGUUAAUUUUUUUAAAGAUCAUAUGUUAAUCUAAUCAAUAUCUUUCUGAUAUACUGAAUCAUUUCAAGCUAAUGUUUUUGCCUAUUAGAUAUAUUCUAUUAUAUUGAUUUUUGUAUUUGUACCUUUCCCCUCUGACUGUACUGAAGAACAUCAUUAUGAAAGCCCAUAAACACCUUUUUCAGUGGCAAAAUCAUAACUCAUUAGGGGUGUGCUGCAUUUGUCUCAUAGAUAAUGAUGGAUGGACUUCAUCAAAACUGGUUACAACUUGUAUACAACCUUUAGAGAAUUUAAUGAGCUAAGAAUUUCAAUUGCAAUUUUAAGAGGUCUACAGAAAUUACUUUAGAUAUCUAGGAGAUUUCUGGAAUGAUAUUUAAAAUAUAUAUGCAUACAUAUAUUUUAAAAAAUGUUGAACUAAAAGGUAGAGAACCAAAUAGAUGUUCCUACCUAGCCUAGAAAGGCUAAGUGACUUGCCCAAGUUAAUACAACUAAUUAGUGGAAACUAACAACUAGGUUCUAGAACUAGAACUUGAGUCCAAAUCUCUUUAAUUCCAAGAUGGUUUGAUUGCCAGUUGUAUGAAACUGCUACCUUUUCUUCUACAGUGACCUGAAAUUUGUUAUUGGGGCACUGAAAAUAUUAAUAGAAGAAGAUCAGGGAUGUAGAAAAAACAUCCAAGCUAUCUUUGAGCAGGCUAACAUUUUUCAAGAGAAAUAUAAAGACAUGAACACAUACAAAGUGAAUAUGGAACAGAAACCUGAUGAAUCAAAUAAAGAAGGCACAUUUUUACCAUUGGCCCCAGAAGAAGAAUUAUUACUAGAACAAUUUAAAAUAAAACCUAACGAGAUAAAAAAUGAAGAUUUAUCACCAGGGCAAUUAUUAGCCCAAGGGGAUUUCAAUUCAGGUGUGAAAAAAGAGGCACAGAGAAGAUAUUCAGAUAGUUACCUUCCCAGCGGUGACUUCAUGGCUUCUGGCUCUAAAAGCAAUACCAUAGGUAGGUUAUUCACUUUUUUUUUUUUAAAUAUAUUUUAUUUGGUCAUUUCCAAGCAUUAUUCGUUAAAGACAUAGAUCAUUUUCUUUUCCUCCCCCCCCCAACCCCCCAUAGCCGACGCGUAAGUCCACUGGGCAUUAGAUGUUUUCUUGAUUUGAACCCAUUGCUUUGUUGAUAGUAUUUGCAUUAGAGUGUUCAUUUAGAGUCUAUCCUCUGUCAUGUCCCCUCAAUCUUUGUAUUCAGGCAGUUGCUUUUUCUCGGUGUUUCCACUCCCAUAGUUUACCCUUUGCUUAUGAAUGGUGUUUUUUUCUCCUGGGUCCCUGCAAGUUGUUCAGGGACAUUACACCACCACUAAUGGAGAAGUCCAUUACGUUCGAUGAUACCACAGUGUGUUUGUCUCUGUGUACAAUGUUCUCCUGGUUCUGCUCCUCUCGCUCUGCAUCACUUCCUGGAGGUUGUUCCAGUCUCCAUGGAACUUCUCCACUUUAUUAUUCCUUUUAGCGCAAUAGUACUCCAUCACCAACAUAUACCACAGUUUGUUCAGCCAUUCCCCAAUUGAUGGGCAUCCCCUCAUUUUCCAGUUUUGGGCCACCACA